rnacentral:rRNA from 1 species
GAUGAACGCUGGCGGCGUGCCUAAUACAUGCAAGUCGAGCGAACGGACGAGAAGCUUGCUUCUCUGAUGUUAGCGGCGGACGGGUGAGUAACACGUGGAUAACCUACCUAUAAGACUGGGAUAACUUCGGGAAACCGGAGCUAAUACCGGAUGAUAUUUUGAACCGCAUGGUUCAAAAGUGAAAGACGGUCUUGCUGUCACUUAUAGCUGGAUCCGCGCUGCAUUAGCUAGUUGGUAAGGUAACGGCUUACCAAGGCUACGAUGCAUAGCCGACCUGAGAGGGUGAUCGGCCACACUGGAGCUGAGACACGGUCCAGACUCCUACGGGAGGCAGCAGUAGGGAAUCUUCCGCAAUGGGCGAAAGCCUGACGGAGCAACGCCGCGUGAGUGAUGAAGGUCUUCGGAUCGUAAAACUCUGUUAUUAGUGAAGAACAUAUGUGUAAGUAACUGUGCACAGCUUGACGGUACCUAAUCAGAAAGCCACGGCUAACUACGUG